GGGCAAUUAGCUCAGCUUGGUUAGAGCGCAUCACUGAUAAUGAUGAGGUCCGUGGUUCAAAUCCACGAUUGCCCACAA
rnacentral:tRNA from 1 species